GUGAGCCGCCAUAGCGCCGGGGCCACACCCGAUCCCAUCCCGAACUCGGUAGUUAAGCCCGGCAACCCCGAUGAUACUACGUGGGCGACUGCGUGGGAAAGUAGGACGCCGCCGGAU
rnacentral:rRNA from 1 species